GACGAACGCUGGCGGCGUGCUUAACACAUGCAAGUCGAACGGAAAGGCCCUGCUUUUGUGGGGUGCUCGAGUGGCGAACGGGUGAGUAACACGUGAGUAACCUGCCCUUGACUUUGGGAUAACUUCUGGAAACUGGGGCUAAUACCGGAUAGGAGCUCCUGCUGCAUGGUGGGGGUUGGAAAGUUUCGGCGGCUGGGGAUGGACUCGCGGCUUAUCAGCUUGUUGGUGGGGUAGUGGCUUACCAAGGCUUUGACGGGUAGCCGGCCUGAGAGGGUGACCGGCCACAUUGGGACUGAGAUACGGCCCAGACUCCUACGGGAGGCAGCAGUGGGGAAUAUUGCACAAUGGGCGGAAGCCUGAUGCAGCAACGCCGCGUGCGGGAUGACGGCCUUCGGGUUGUAAACCGCUUUCGCCUGUGACGAAGCGUGAGUGACGGUAAUGGGUAAAGAAGCACCGGCUAACUACGUG
rnacentral:rRNA from 1 species